AUUAGUUUGGCUCAGAGGAGAUAAAGAUUCAGCUGGAAACUCAAUCCCAAAUUCAAUCAAUAGACUCUAGAUAAACUUUGCUCCAGGUUGGUCUAGUCCCAGUACCCGAACAUGUUUCCUUAUGAUAUGAUUUAAUGGAAGAUUAAAUAGAGUUUAAUUAAAUGAGCUCUGAGCAAAACGCCUCAUAUAAGAGGAAGUAAAUACGUAUUUUGAAAUUAAUAUAUGUUCAUAGGAAGGAAAGAAUUUAAUGCUGUAAAAUACCUCAGAACUUAAUAAUAAUUAAUUAAUUACAUUCAAAUUAUUUGCAAGCAAUACAAUUUAGACUAAACCUAGACCUCAGCCUGCAGAUACACAGAUUCCACUGCAGAGACAGAAUUUGUAACUUUUUCUUAAAUACUUGAGGAUAAAAGAUGAAGUUCUAUAUUUACACCAGAGGGGUUUUUUUUGCAUAUACAAGACAAAAAUAGCUAUUUCUGAGCGUUUUGGACAGAAGGGCUUGCCGUACGGGGGCGUGGCCACGCAGCCGCCGUCGGCCGGCGCGGAUCACGUGCCGGCGGCGGCGGCGGCGGCGGCGGCCCCUCCUGGACCGGUCGUGGCCCGGCCGGGGACUCCGAGCCUCAGCAGCGAGGUCGUGAAGAUGAGAAAAGAAGUGAAGAGAAUCCGAGUUUUUAUCUGAAAACUUGUCAGGAAUGUGAGCCGACUGGAGUCCAAAAAGGGCACUGAAGAUGCACUGUUAAAAAGGCAGAGACGAGCACGACGAUUGCUUGAAGAAAUCCCUGCCAUGAAGCUACUGUCACAACUUUCAUGACUUCAGCGACAGCUGCCCGCGCGGCCUGACCACCCUUCUAUGCUGCACUGUGACCCAGACCAACUUUCAAAAAUUCAAAUCUUGAUAAAUCCACUUCUUCCUUAAAAUCCCCAAAGGUCUUCAAGAUGCAUGGUGCAAGGACCUGCCAGGCCUGCUGCUCAGCAAGGACAGGCGAGGCAAGAAGAGAACUAGGUGACCAACUGCCAGCUUCACCAGCUACGCAGCUGUAAUGAAGGGGGGGUAGUUGGAUACAGGAAAGGACGGACAGACAGACUGAUGGAGUAGAAUGAAGUCCAGAAACAGACCACACGUAGACAGUCAUUUGAUUUGUGAUAAAAGUGACGUGACAGACAAGGAAUUGGGGGGUUAAUAAACUCUUCAAUAAAUUUUACUGGAUCAAUUAGGAGAUCAUAGGGGAAAAUGUAUCUCGACUCCUCUCUUGUACCAAAGAUAAAAAAUCACCCUGGAUACAUUGCGGAUCCAUCUGUGACACAUAAUGUAAGCACACUUAGAAGAAAACAGAAGAGGACAUCGUCAUGACUUUGGAGCAGUCAAAGAUUUCUUAAACAGGACAGAAAGGGCAUUGACCUUAUAGCCAAAAAACCUAUAAAUUGAACUAUAUUAAAGUUAAGGACCUCUUUUCUUCAGAAGGCACUCUUAGGAGAGUGAAAAAAUGAGAUGGACACUGAGAGAAGACACCGUCAUUACAUAUGCCCAACAAAGGACUUGUUAUCAGCAGUAAAGAACAACUAGAGACAGAAUAAACAGUUCUCAGGUCCCACCACAGACCUAGUGAGUCAGAACCUCUCGGGCUGGAGCCCAGCAGCAGUCUGUGUUUUAAUAAGUCCUCUAGGAGAUCCUGAUACUACUGUCCAAACUCGGCCCAGUCACGCAAGGCCCACCCCAGUUCCAUUACACGUCCAAUCCACCCUUCACUGCCCUCUAGCCCAGCCGCCUACCACAGCUAAGAAGUCUCACUGGCCACGCAUCUCUGUGCUCUGGGUCUGGGGUGUCUGCUGCUCCAUGUCCACCUACUUCACUCCUGCUCAUCAUCCUUAUAACUCAGCUCACAUGCCCUGGGAUGAUGGCUCCCAAGCCCACUGGAUCAGAAUAUAGAGGAGCUUUGCAAAACUGAGAAAACCCCAGGCCCCAAUUGGUCCUCAGAAAGAUAGAAACUCAUGGUCUUGCCCAGCUCUGUACCCCAGCACCAAGCCUGGUGCCUGUGAUAGUCACUCAUAUGUCCUGAUGGGAUGGACGCAAGGAGCCCCGUGGCUAGUCUCAGAGGCACAGCUGAAGGUGAGGUGGUCCUACCUUGGGCACCUGCAGGCGGCAGAUGAGAGCAUUCAUCACAGAGGGCUUGGUAGUGGCUUUCUCCGUGAUGAUCACAGAGGCCAGUGCUUUCCGCAUGUCAGAACCAGCCCCAGCUGCGCCUGUCUGUUGACUCGCUGUCCAUGAUGUCGAGGAGGUUUGUGACUUAUAGGAAGGUACCUGAGGGAAAGGUGGUGCAGGUGCAGGGCUGAGAUGAGCAUCACAGGAAGUGCUGCUGUGCCCGGGCUCCCUCGACCCCUGUGCAGCUCUAGCUGUGCCGGAGGUGUGAUUGGUCGUGGACCUUCCUGUCCACUGUACAGAUGGAGGCACUGAGACCUCAGUUGAUGGCUAGGACUUGCCCUCCAGGAGUUGGUGGCCCAGACGGGGCAGGAAUGUGGGGAAGGGGUGACUCUCUCACCUCUGUCAUCGUUCCAGAGGUCCCAGGUCCUCUGUUGCCUCUGCCAGGUCCCCAUUUGAGUCUACUGCUGUUUCUUCCAUCUCUUCCUCAAGCUCUUUUGAGAUAAACAGUAUUUGUAAAGUAGCUGGUGUGUUGUCACACCCUAAGAGGACCCCAAUGAGUCAUGCCCUGUAUAAUCGCCUCCCCUUGAGGGUGGACAGAGCCUAAGAUGUGGUGAGAACCAAUGGACUAGGGCAGAGUGUACGGGACGGCCUUUGUCUUCUCACAAGUUUGUAGGCAGAAUGGGAAAGCACCUUCCCCCAGGUCUGAACGCAUAACAGGAAAGCACAAACUUGGGAGUGGCCGGUGCCGUCCUUGGUAGUUGUCUGCCCACAAAAACAUAUCUUGUCCUCGAGGACGAGCCAAGAUUCCUCACUCUGAAAAUAGGGAGUCCUUGAGGAUGUGUGAAAACACCACCCCUGCUUCUGGUGUGGGGGAAGUGGAGAACAAAGAACAUCGCUGAUGUGGCAGGGAGCAGCCUUGGCCCCAAAAAACAUCCUGUUUACGCAUUCCAUGAGGAACUGAAGGAGCCUUAUUGUUCUUAACUUUGCCCUGCUGCCGCUGACGUCAAUAUUGUGCUUGGCUGUUUAUUAGAUAAGGCUAUUUUCUGGAAUCAUGUAUCUCUUUGCUGUAUAAAUACCCUGGUACCCAGUAAAGCUUUGCUGGUGACAUG